GGGUUGUGAGGUUAAGCGACUAAGCGUACACGGUGGAUGCCCUGGCAGUCAGAGGCGAUGAAGGACGUGCUAAUCUGCGAUAAGCGUCGGUAAGGUGAUAUGAACCGUUAUAACCGGCGAUUUCCGAAUGGGGAAACCCAGUGUGAUUCGUCACACUAUCAUUAACUGAAUCCAUAGGUUAAUGAGGCGAACCGGGGGAACUGAAACAUCUAAGUACCCCGAGGAAAAGAAAUCAACCGAGAUUCCCCCAGUAGCGGCGAGCGAACGGGGAGCAGCCCAGAGCCUGAAUCAGUGUGUGUGUUAGUGGAAGCGUCUGGAAAGGCGCGCGAUACAGGGUGACAGCCCCGUACACAAAAAUGCACAUGCUGUGAGCUCGAUGAGUAGGGCGGGACACGUGGUAUCCUGUCUGAAUAUGGGGGGACCAUCCUCCAAGGCUAAAUACUCCUGACUGACCGAUAGUGAACCAGUACCGUGAGGGAAAGGCGAAAAGAACCCCGGCGAGGGGAGUGAAAAAGAACCUGAAACCGUGUACGUACAAGCAGUGGGAGCACGCUUAGGCGUGUGACUGCGUACCUUUUGUAUAAUGGGUCAGCGACUUAUAUUCUGUAGCAAGGUUAACCGAAUAGGGGAGCCGAAGGGAAACCGAGUCUUAACUGGGCGUUAAGUUGCAGGGUAUAGACCCGAAACCCGGUGAUCUAGCCAUGGGCAGGUUGAAGGUUGGGUAACACUAACUGGAGGACCGAACCGACUAAUGUUGAAAAAUUAGCGGAUGACUUGUGGCUGGGGGUGAAAGGCCAAUCAAACCGGGAGAUAGCUGGUUCUCCCCGAAAGCUAUUUAGGUAGCGCCUCGUGAAUUCAUCUCCGGGGGUAGAGCACUGUUUCGGCAAGGGGGUCAUCCCGACUUACCAACCCGAUGCAAACUGCGAAUACCGGAGAAUGUUAUCACGGGAGACACACGGCGGGUGCUAACGUCCGUCGUGAAGAGGGAAACAACCCAGACCGCCAGCUAAGGUCCCAAAGUCAUGGUUAAGUGGGAAACGAUGUGGGAAGGCCCAGACAGCCAGGAUGUUGGCUUAGAAGCAGCCAUCAUUUAAAGAAAGCGUAAUAGCUCACUGGUCGAGUCGGCCUGCGCGGAAGAUGUAACGGGGCUAAACCAUGCACCGAAGCUGCGGCAGCGACGCUUAUGCGUUGUUGGGUAGGGGAGCGUUCUGUAAGCCUGCGAAGGUGUGCUGUGAGGCAUGCUGGAGGUAUCAGAAGUGCGAAUGCUGACAUAAGUAACGAUAAAGCGGGUGAAAAGCCCGCUCGCCGGAAGACCAAGGGUUCCUGUCCAACGUUAAUCGGGGCAGGGUGAGUCGACCCCUAAGGCGAGGCCGAAAGGCGUAGUCGAUGGGAAACAGGUUAAUAUUCCUGUACUUGGUGUUACUGCGAAGGGGGGACGGAGAAGGCUAUGUUGGCCGGGCGACGGUUGUCCCGGUUUAAGCGUGUAGGCUGGUUUUCCAGGCAAAUCCGGAAAAUCAAGGCUGAGGCGUGAUGACGAGGCACUACGGUGCUGAAGCAACAAAUGCCCUGCUUCCAGGAAAAGCCUCUAAGCAUCAGGUAACAUCAAAUCGUACCCCAAACCGACACAGGUGGUCAGGUAGAGAAUACCAAGGCGCUUGAGAGAACUCGGGUGAAGGAACUAGGCAAAAUGGUGCCGUAACUUCGGGAGAAGGCACGCUGAUAUGUAGGUGAAGUCCCUCGCGGAUGGAGCUGAAAUCAGUCGAAGAUACCAGCUGGCUGCAACUGUUUAUUAAAAACACAGCACUGUGCAAACACGAAAGUGGACGUAUACGGUGUGACGCCUGCCCGGUGCCGGAAGGUUAAUUGAUGGGGUUAGCGCAAGCGAAGCUCUUGAUCGAAGCCCCGGUAAACGGCGGCCGUAACUAUAACGGUCCUAAGGUAGCGAAAUUCCUUGUCGGGUAAGUUCCGACCUGCACGAAUGGCGUAAUGAUGGCCAGGCUGUCUCCACCCGAGACUCAGUGAAAUUGAACUCGCUGUGAAGAUGCAGUGUACCCGCGGCAAGACGGAAAGACCCCGUGAACCUUUACUAUAGCUUGACACUGAACAUUGAGCCUUGAUGUGUAGGAUAGGUGGGAGGCUUUGAAGUGUGGACGCCAGUCUGCAUGGAGCCGACCUUGAAAUACCACCCUUUAAUGUUUGAUGUUCUAACGU
rnacentral:rRNA from 1 species